CCUACGGGAGGCAGCAGUGGGGAAUAUUGGGCAAUGGGCGCAAGCCUGACCCAGCAACGCCGCGUGAAGGAAGAAGGCUUUCGGGGUGUAAACUUCUUUUGUCAGGGAAGAGUAGAAGACGGUACCUGACGAAUAAGCCACGGCUAACUACGUGCCAGCAGCCGCGGUAAGAGGUAGGUGGCAAGAGUUGUCCGGAUUUACUGGGUGUAAAGGGCGUGUAGCCGGGUUGACAAGUCAGAUGGGAAAUCCUGCGGCUUAACCGCAGAACGUCAUUUGAAGCUGUUGAUCUUGAGUACUGGAGAGGCAGACGGAAUUCCUAGUGUAGCGGUGAAAUGCGUAGAUAUUAGGAGGAACACCAGUGGCGAAGGCGGUCUGCUGGACAGCAACUGACGGUGAGGCGCGAAAGUGUGGGGAGCAAACAGGAUUAGAUACCCGAGUAGUC
rnacentral:rRNA from 1 species